GCCUUCGGGGUGUAAUGGUCAGCACGGUUGGCACGUAUUCCAGAUGUCCCUGGUUCGAAUCCCGGCGAAGGCG
rnacentral:tRNA from 1 species